rnacentral:rRNA from 1 species
AGUGAACGCUGGCGGUAGGCCUAACACAUGCAAGUCGAACGGCAGCACAGUAAGAGCUUGCUCUUACGGGUGGCGAGUGGCGGACGGGUGAGGAAUACAUCGGAAUCUACUUUUUCGUGGGUGAUAACGUAGGGAAACUUACGCUAAUACCGCAUACGACCUACGGGUGAAAGCAGGGGAUCUUCGGACCUUGCGCGAGUGAAUGAGCCGAUGUCGGAUUAGCUAGUUGGCGGGGUAAAGGCCCACCAAGGCGACGAUCCGUAGCUGGUCUGAGAGGAUGAUCAGCCACAGGUGAACUGAGACAAGGUCCAGCAUCGUACGUGAGGCAGCAGUGGGGAAUAUUGGACAAUGGGCGGAAGCCUGAUCCAGCCAUACCGCGUGGGUGAAGAAGGCCUUCGGGUUGUAAAGCCCUUUUGUUGGGAAAGAAAAGCAGCAGGUUAAUACCCAGCUGUUCUGACGGUACCCAAAGAAUAAGCACCGGCUAACUUCGU